CAGUCGCCGCGGUAAUACGUAGGGUGCAAGCGUUAAUCGGAAUUACUGGGCGUAAAGCGUGCGUAGGCGGCUUUUUAAGUCGGAUGUGAAAUCCCCGAGCUCAACCUGGGAAUGGCGCUUGUGACUGCAAAGCUAGAGUGCGGCAGAGGGGGAUGGAAUUCCGCGUGUAGCAGUGAAAUGCGUAGAUAUGCGGAGGAACACCGAUGGCGAAGGCAAUCCCCUGGGCCUGCACUGACGCUCAUGCACGAAAGCGUGGGGAGCAAACAGGAUUAGAUACCCCGGUAGUCCCUGUCUCUUAUAC
rnacentral:rRNA from 1 species